GCGGAAUUAGCUCAGUUGGCAGAGUGUUGGCUUCCCAAGCCGAAGGUCGCGGGUUCGAACCCCGUAUUCCGCU
rnacentral:tRNA from 1 species